CUGCUACUCUCUCCGUCCGAAAAUACUUGUCGGAGAAAGGAUGUAUCUAGACAUAUUUUAGUUCUUGAUACAUUCAUUUUCAUUCAUUUAUGCAACAAGUAAUUCCGAACGGAGGGUAUGUAUU
rnacentral:pre_miRNA from 1 species